rnacentral:rRNA from 1 species
AACGCGAAGAACCUUACCAGGGCUUGACAUGUACCGGAAUAACUAAGAGAUUAGUUAGUCCUUCGGGACUGGUACACAGGUGGUGCAUGGUUGUCGUCAGCUCGUGUCGUGAGAUGUUGGGUUAAGUCCCGCAACGAGCGCAACCCCUAUUGCUAGUUACUAACACGUAAUGGUGAGGACUCUAGCGAGACUGCCGGUGAUAAAUCGGAGGAAGGUGGGGACGACGUCAAAUCAUCAUGCCCUAUAUGUCCUGGGCUACACACGUACUACAAUGGCUACAACAAAGGGAAGCGAAACAGUGAUGUGGAGCGAAUCUCAAAAAAGUAGUCUCAGUUCGGAUUGAAGGCUGAAAUUCGCCUUCAUGAAGCCGGAAUUGCUAGUAAUGGCAGGUCAGCAUACUGUCGUGAAUACGUUCCCGGGUCUUGUACACACCG